AAUUAGCCCAGAUAGAAGUGAAAAUCCUUUUGUGCCAGGGUUUGGCACAAAAGAUUGUAACGAAUAGCUGGAAAUAGC
rnacentral:sRNA from 1 species